UACGUAGGGUGCAGGCGUUAAUCGGAAUUACUGGGCGUAAAGCGUGCGCAGGCGGUUUGCUAAGACAGGUGUGAAAUCCCCGAGCUUAACUUGGGAACUGCGCUUGUAACUGGCAAGCUAGAGUGCGGCAGAGGGGGGUGGAAUUCCACGUGUAGCAGUGAAAUGCGUAGAGAUGUGGAGGAACACCGAUGGCGAAGGCAGCCCCCUGGGUCGACACUGACGCUCAUGCACGAAAGCGUGGGGAGCAAGCAGG
rnacentral:rRNA from 1 species